rnacentral:tRNA from 2 species
GCGUGCGUGGCGGAAUUGGUAGACGCGCAUGAUUCAGGUUCAUGUGGGGGCAACCCCGUGGAGGUUCGAUUCCUCUCGCGCGCACCA